rnacentral:rRNA from 1 species
AAGUCGUGCGAGAAAGUAUCUUCGGAUAUGAGUUGAGCGGCGGACGGGUGAGUAACGCGUAGGAAUCUACCUAGUAGAAGGGGAUAGCCCGGGGAAACCCGGAUUAAUACCGUAUACCUCCUUCGGGAGAAAGAAGGCCUCUCUUUGAAGCUUUCGCUAUUAGAUGAGCCUGCGUAAGAUUAGCUUGUUGGUGAGGUAAAGGCUCACCAAGGCAACGAUCUUUAGCUGGUCUGAGAGGACGAUCAGCCACAUUGGGACUGAGACACGGCCCAGACUCCUACGGGAGGCAGCAGUGGGGAAUAUUGGACAAUGGGCGCAAGCCUGAUCCAGCCAUACCGCGUGUGUGAAGAAGGCCUUCGGGUUGUAAAGCACUUUAAGCAGGGAGAAAAAGUUAUAAGUUAAUACCUUAUGACCUUGAUGUUACCUGCAGAAUAAGCACCGGCUAAUUCCGUGCCAGCAGCCGCGGUAAUACGGAAGGCGCAAGCGUUAAUCGGAAUUACUGGGCGUAAAGCGCGCGUAGGUGGUUUGUUAAGUUGGAUGUGAAAGCCCUGGGCUCAACCUAGGAACUGCAUCCAAAACUAACUCACUUGAGUACGAUAGAGGGAGGUAGAAUUCAUAGUGUAGCAGUGGAAUGCGUAGAUAUUAUGAAGAAUACCGGUGGCGAA